rnacentral:rRNA from 1 species
GACGAACGCUGGCGGCGUGCCUAAUACAUGCAAGUAGAACGCUGAAGGAGGAGCUUGCUUCUCUGGAUGAGUUGCGAACGGGUGAGUAACGCGUAGGUAACCUGCCUGGUAGCGGGGGAUAACUAUUGGAAACGAUAGCUAAUACCGCAUAAGAGUAGAUGUCGCAUGACAUUUGCUUAAAAGGUGCAAUUGCAUCACUACCAGAUGGACCUGCGUUGUAUUAGCUAGUUGGUGAGGUAACGGCUCACCAAGGCAACGAUACAUAGCCGACCUGAGAGGGGGAUCGGCCACACUGGGACUGAGACACGGCCCAGACUCCUACGGGAGGCAGCAGUAGGGAAUCUUCGGCAAUAGACGGAAGUCUGACCGAGCAACGCCGCGUGAGUGAAGAAGGGUUUCGGAUCGUAAAGCUCGGUUGUAAGAGAAGAACGAGUGUGAGAGUGGAAAGUUCACACUGUGACGGUAUCUUACCAGAAAGGGACGGCUAACUACGUG